rnacentral:Y_RNA from 1 species
GGCUGGUCCAAUGGUAGUGGGUUAUCAGAAAUUAUUAACAUUAGUGUCACUAAAGUUGGUAUACAACCCCCUACUGCUAAACUUGACUGCCUUUA